UGGGGAAUAUUGCGCAAUGGGCGAAAGCCUGACGCAGCGACGCCGCGUGAGGGAUGAAGGUUUUCGGAUCGUAAACCUCUGUCAGAAGGGAAGAAACCGCACUGUGCUAAUCAGCAGUGCCUUGACGGUACCUUCAAAGGAAGCACCGGCUACUCCGUGCCAGCAGCCGCGGUAAUACGGAGGGUGCAAGCGUUAAUCGGAAUUACUGGGCGUAAAGCGCACGUAGGCUGCUUUGUAAGUCAGGGGUGAAAUCCCACGGCUCAACCGUGGAACUGCCUUUGAUACUGCUUAGCUUGAAUCCGGGAGAGGGUGGCGGAAUUCCAGGUGUAGGAGUGAAAUCCGUAGAUAUCUGGAGGAACAUCAGUGGCGAAGGCGGCCACCUGGACCGGUAUUGACGCUGAGGUGCGAAAGCGUGGGGAGCAAACAGG
rnacentral:rRNA from 1 species